GAUGAACGCUGGCGGCGUGCUUAACACAUGCAAGUCGAACGGAAAGGCUCCUGCUUGCAGGGGUACUCGAGUGGCGAACGGGUGAGUAACACGUGGGUGAUCUGCCCAGCACUUCGGGAUAAGCCUGGGAAACUGGGUCUAAUACCGGAUAGGACGAUGGUUUGGAUUCCAUUGUGGAAAGUUUUUUCGGUGUGGGAUGAGCUCGCGGCCUAUCAGCUUGUUGGUGGGGUAAUGGCCUACCAAGGCGUCGACGGGUAGCCGGCCUGAGAGGGUGUACGGCCACAUUGGGACUGAGAUACGGCCCAGACUCCUACGGGAGGCAGCAGUGGGGAAUAUUGCACAAUGGGCGCAAGCCUGAUGCAGCGACGCCGCGUGGGGGAUGACGGCCUUCGGGUUGUAAACUCCUUUCGCUAGGGACGAAGCGCAAGUGACGGUACCUGGAGAAGAAGCACCGGCUAACUACGUG
rnacentral:rRNA from 1 species